GAUGAACGCUGGCGGCGUGCUUAACACAUGCAAGUCGAACGAAGCACUUUAACCUGAUUCUUCGGAUGAAGGUUUUUGUGACUGAGUGGCGGACGGGUGAGUAACGCGUGGGUAACCUGCCUCAUACAGGGGGAUAACAGUUAGAAAUGACUGCUAAUACCGCAUAAGACCACAGAGUCGCAUGGCUCGGUGGGAAAAACUCCGGUGGUAUGAGAUGGACCCGCGUCUGAUUAGGUAGUUGGUGGGGUAACGGCCUACCAAGCCAACGAUCAGUAGCCGACCUGAGAGGGUGACCGGCCACAUUGGGACUGAGACACGGCCCAAACUCCUACGGGAGGCAGCAGUGGGGAAUAUUGCACAAUGGGGGAAACCCUGAUGCAGCGACGCCGCGUGAGCGAAGAAGUAUUUCGGUAUGUAAAGCUCUAUCAGCAGGGAAGAAAAUGACGGUACCUGACUAAGAAGCACCGGCUAAAUACGUGCCAGCAGCCGCGGUAAUACGUAUGGUGCAAGCGUUAUCCGGAUUUACUGGGUGUAAAGGGAGCGUAGACGGCUGUGUAAGUCUGAAGUGAAAGCCCGGGGCUCAACCCCGGGACUGCUUUGGAAACUAUGCAGCUAGAGUGUCGGAGAGGUAAGUGGAAUUCCCAGUGUAGCGGUGAAAUGCGUAGAUAUUGGGAGGAACACCAGUGGCGAAGGCGGCUUACUGGACGAUGACUGACGUUGAGGCUCGAAAGCGUGGGGAGCAAACAGGAUUAGAUACCCUGGUAGUCCACGCCGUAAACGAUGACUACUAGGUGUCGGGGAGCAGAGCUCUUCGGUGCCGCAGCAAACGCAAUAAGUAGUCCACCUGGGGAGUACGUUCGCAAGAAUGAAACUCAAAGGAAAUGACGGGGACCCGCACAAGCGGUGGAGCAUGUGGUUUAAUUCGAAGCAACGCGAAGAACCUUACCUGCUCUUGACAUCCCGGUGACCGGCAUGUAAUGAUGCCUUUUCUUUGGAACACCGGUGACAGGUGGUGCAUGGUUGUCGUCAGCUCGUGUCGUGAGAUGUUGGGUUAAGUCCCGCAACGAGCGCAACCCUUAUCUUCAGUAGCCAGCAAUUCGGAUGGGCACUCUGGAGAGACUGCCAAGGAUAACCUGGAGGAAGGUGGGGAGGACGUCAAAUCAUCAUGCCCCUUAUGAGCAGGGCUACACACGUGCUACAAUGGCGUAAACAAAGGGAAGCGAGCCUGCGAGGGUAAGCAAAUCUCAAAAAUAACGUCUCAGUUCGGAUUGUAGUCUGCAACUCGACUACAUGAAGCUGGAAUCGCUAGUAAUCGCGAAUCAGCAUGUCGCGGUGAAUACGUUCCCGGGUCUUGCACA
rnacentral:rRNA from 1 species